GACCUCGGAUCAGGUAGGGAUACCCGCUGAACUUAAGCAUAUCAAUAAGCGGAGGAAAAGAAACCAACAGGGAUUGCCUCAGUAACGGCGAGUGAAGCGGCGACAGCUCAAAUUUGAAAUCUGGCCUUCGGGUCCGAGUUGUAAUUUGCAGAGGAUGCUUCGAGCAUGGUCUAGUCUAAGUUCCUUGGAAUAGGACGUCAUAGAGGGUGAGAAUCCCGUAUGCGACUGGGUGCCUAAGCUCAUGUGAAGCUCCUUCGACGAGUCGAGUUGUUUGGGAAUGCAGCUCAAAAUGGGUGGUAAAUUUCAUCUAAAGCUAAAUAUUGGCCAGAGACCGAUAGCGCACAAGUAGAGUGAUCGAAAGAUGAAAAGCACUUUGGAAAGAGAGUUAAAUAGCACGUGAAAUUGUUGAAAGGGAAGCGCUUGCAAUCAG
rnacentral:rRNA from 1 species